rnacentral:tRNA from 1 species
GGGGCUGUAGUUAAAUAUAACAUUUGAGUUGCAUUCAAAAAGUACUGUUAAAGUCUACCUCA